UUAAGCGACUAAGCGUACACGGUGGAUGCCCUGGCAGUCAGAGGCGAUGAAGGACGUGCUAAUCUGCGAUAAGCGUCGGUAAGGUGAUAUGAACCGUUAUAACCGGCGAUUUCCGAAUGGGGAAACCCAGUGUGUUUCGACACACUAUCAUUAACUGAAUCCAUAGGUUAAUGAGGCGAACCGGGGGAACUGAAACAUCUAAGUACCCCGAGGAAAAGAAAUCAACCGAGAUUCCCCCAGUAGCGGCGAGCGAACGGGGAGCAGCCCAGAGCCUGAAUCAGUGUGUGUGUUAGUGGAAGCGUCUGGAAAGGCGCGCGAUACAGGGUGACAGCCCCGUACACAAAAAUGCACAUGCUGUGAGCUCGAUGAGUAGGGCGGGACACGUGGUAUCCUGUCUGAAUAUGGGGGGACCAUCCUCCAAGGCUAAAUACUCCUGACUGACCGAUAGUGAACCAGUACCGUGAGGGAAAGGCGAAAAGAACCCCGGCGAGGGGAGUGAAAAAGAACCUGAAACCGUGUACGUACAAGCAGUGGGAGCACGCUUAGGCGUGUGACUGCGUACCUUUUGUAUAAUGGGUCAGCGACUUAUAUUCUGUAGCAAGGUUAACCGAAUAGGGGAGCCGAAGGGAAACCGAGUCUUAACUGGGCGUUAAGUUGCAGGGUAUAGACCCGAAACCCGGUGAUCUAGCCAUGGGCAGGUUGAAGGUUGGGUAACACUAACUGGAGGACCGAACCGACUAAUGUUGAAAAAUUAGCGGAUGACUUGUGGCUGGGGGUGAAAGGCCAAUCAAACCGGGAGAUAGCUGGUUCUCCCCGAAAGCUAUUUAGGUAGCGCCUCGUGAAUUCAUCUCCGGGGGUAGAGCACUGUUUCGGCAAGGGGGUCAUCCCGACUUACCAACCCGAUGCAAACUGCGAAUACCGGAGAAUGUUAUCACGGGAGACACACGGCGGGUGCUAACGUCCGUCGUGAAGAGGGAAACAACCCAGACCGCCAGCUAAGGUCCCAAAGUCAUGGUUAAGUGGGAAACGAUGUGGGAAGGCCCAGACAGCCAGGAUG
rnacentral:rRNA from 1 species